AUCGGAAUAAUCUCAUCCAGACAAGCUUUGAAGAGAUCGCAUUCCUUGGUGAAUACAGAAGAACAUUGCAAGUUCAAUUUUACGGCGAGGUAUGUAACAAAGCAUUAAUAACAAAAUGUUAAGCAUCCCUUCCACACCACCGGUUUGACACUAUUGAUUAUGUCUUAUUAAAUACUGUUUUGUGUUGUAUGUGACUAUUUGUUUAUAUUACAUUUCAAUAUGCUAUCCAAAACUAGGUGGCUGAAGAUUAUGGAGGACCACGAAAAGAAUUCUUUAGAUUGAUCCUAGGUGAAAUUAAAGAGACUUACUUUGACAACGGCCUAAGAGAAUUGUUGAGGGAAACAUAUACAAUCAUUGGAAUAAUAUUAGGAUUGAGUAUAAUUCAAAAUGGAAAAAUUCCAGUUUUCCUUGGUGAAGACAUUGUAAAAAAAGUUUUUUCUGAAACAUCAUCUGAAGCAUGUAUUGCUGAACUGCAAGAAGGUUUUAAGAAAGUUGGAAUCUACCAGCUUGGGUGUCUACUACCGACAUUUUUGGAAAUAUUCAAGCGUCCACCAUACACUUUGACAGUCAGAAGUUUGGUCAGUUU